UCUGCUCCCCCCACACUUCUCACCGCAAGGGGGCGCUGCCGCGAGGAGUGGUGACGUCAUUCACCGGCGACAGCCCGCUGUUAGACAUGGCGGUGGUAGCAGCAUCCCCCACUUCUUCCUUUCUGUUUCCUGCACUGGAUGCCUCGGCCCUCAAGCUUUCAGUUCCCCUGUCUGAUGGUCGGGACAGACACUCGAUGCUGCAGGGAGCAGGCAGGGCUUUAAGUCCCGGUUGAAAGGAGUGCUACUUCUGAUGGCUUCAGCCCUGUCUUGUGGUUUCUGCUGGGCCCCAGAGAGCUGCCCACAACCGCCACUCGGUUCUUUGCGCCUCAUGCUGAAGCCAUGAAGCUGCCUCUGAAGCUGCGUUGGAAGAAAUCUGAGCCCACGGGUGAUGCUCUGCUGGUUCUGCUUGCUGAGGGCUUGCGGGUCCCUCUACCGAUGCCAACCAAGCCUGUCACACUGCCCCAGGUGAAAUUGUGCUGAGUGCCCAGCAUGAAGGGUGUGAGCCCGCAGCAGCCGGGAACCCUGAGGAAACGGUCAGUGAGCAGCUUCAACUGGAGGUCCCCAACUCGCCUGUGUGCUUUCGCACCGGGCUCUGCCGUGCGGUGAGGCACUGCUCAGUGCAGGAUGUGCCCACAAGCAGUUUCCUGAGGAAGAGGAGAGGAUUUGGGUGGAUUUCCCCGCCCUUGGAACAGGCCUCAGCAGUGGGGUGCCUGCUCUCCGGAGCACCCAGUGCUAAUGAUGAGGAGUGGUGACUGUGUACUGAUAUUUUGGGGGGUACAGUUGUUUAUAUUUACUGCUGUACAAGUGAAUAUCACGUCAAUAAAUACAAAUUUCUGCUAUAUUCACA